UAGCUGUUGGAUGACGGCGGGACGACCAAAACAGCGACCUUCUCGAAUGACAACCAGCGUUCAGCACCCGAACAGGCUAGAUCCACAAGUUUCGUGGCAUUUUCUUUGUUCUGGUGACUUUCGGCAUCGACCCACACUCAAACGAAGGUCGAUUUGAGUUACCCAUCACUUUUCGGCAUCGGACGACGAGUAUUUUUUAACUCCGUUUUGAAGUGUCGGGUUCAUUUGACAUCAAUCCACUCGUAACCCAAGUGGCGUGAGAUAGUAGGAACCCUUUGACGAGCUUAAUAGCGUGUUAGGACCUUAGUGUUGAGAGAGGCCCUAGGUACAAAGGUCAGGGGUCCAUACGACUCGGGUCUAUGAGCUGGAAAAAUGUGGGAAAAAUUUGUUGAUGCCAAGAACGGUCGCUGCUUUGUCAUGGACACGGUUCGAGAUGUCCUCUGGGGCAUGGAGGAGAUGGAGCAGGCUUACCAAUCUCUUUUUCGUAGGGUGAGGCGCCUGAAGUGGAGGAUGCAGCGACAAGCCCCCGCGUGCUGAUUUGAUGCUGCUCCAUUUCCGUACAUUUUUCUCUUUUUUUUUGUACCCUUGCAUGUUUUGUGGUGGCGGUGUCGCCUUUCAUUUUGUAAUGGGUUUCGGGGCCCCAUAGUCCCUAUUUUCAAACUAAUGAAAUUUUCCU